rnacentral:rRNA from 1 species
UACGUAGGGGGCGAGCGUUGUCCGGAUUUAUUGGGCGUAAAGAGCGUGUAGGCGGCCAGGUAGGUCUGCUGUGAAAACUCGAGGCUCAACCUCGAGACGUCGGCGGAAACCAUCUGGCUAGAGUCCGGAAGAGGAGAGUGGAAUUCCUGGUGUAGCGGUGAAAUGCGCAGAUACCAGGAAGAACACCCGUGGCGAAGGCGGCUCUCUGGGACGGUACUGACGCUGAGACGCGAAAGCGUGGGGAGCGAACAGG